CUUCCGUACUCACGUUGACUAGCGUAACAGGCAAACGUGAGAUAUUUCUUCAUAUUAAUUUGACAUUUUAAAAGAAAACUAUGUAAUUGCAGACGGUGCAGCAUGAGAAAUACUGAAGAUCUGGAGUAGUAGAGAGGAGACAGCACCAUCAUAUCCUUCUCAGCUGUUGUCAAGUUCGUCUCUAUCUCACAAACAUGUUUCCAGAAUUGAACAGUAUUCUCAAUUCCACUCCAGACAGUUUCAAAUCGAGUGACUUUAUCCUGGUGUCAAGACAGACGAGCUGAUGCAUCAUUUCUCAUUCAUCACCAUCUGUCUUUCUAUUUACGUGCUGGCUGUAAGGUGUGUUUUCUGGGUCUUGUGCAGUCCUUCAGUCACUACAGUGCUGUCAGUCAGAGGCUGGGAGUGAGUCUGGCCCAGGCAAGAGAGAAGGGCCAGCUAGUGUUUCUUGAAGGACUGAAGAAUUCUAUCGGAGUUAUAUUACAGGAGGACACCAGUCAGGAGACACAACCCUUGAGUUAUC